UUAUGUCCCUGUUCUGGAAGCUUCUUUGUUCCAGUUAGCCUCUGUCCCACAGCCACAAUCAACAAAGGCCUCAUCAUGGCAUCUAGAGCCCUACAGCAUAAGGGAAAGAAGAGGAGGCUUUGAACUCAACCCUCUUAGCCUUCUGGCACAUUAUGGGCUCCUCUUGGGACAUCUCUUCAGUGUUCAGGGAGACGCUGCUGGGAGGAUGGCUUUCACUCCCAGAGGAAGAGGGCUCCAGGAUCUGCUCUCCAGAGAACUGCUCACUUCAUUGGAGAAAAGGCUCUGAGAGAGAAAAUGAGCUGUCCUAGGAUAUACAGAUAGGAGAUGGGAAAGCAUGGCUGACCCAAAAGUCAAGCACUCCCACGCUCAUCCCUCGCUUCUGAUCGUCCACAGUCCUACAGCUAUAGAAGAGAGCCUGCAUCCUACCCACAGUUCUACAUCUCUCCGCUGGACAAAUGUGGCAGGCGUUUUAAAAAUUGUAUUGCAAAAUAACUGGAAAUAGUUAAUUUACCACAACUAAGUACACACAUUUGAUAACGUA